GCAGGGUAGGGUGGGAGGCUCAGACUUCCAGAGAUGUCUACCUCUGUCUGCUCAGUGCUCGGACUAAAUGUGUAGCUACUGUUUCUGACUGAUUCGAGACAGAAUCUUCUGUAAUCAAGGCUGGCCUUGAACUCACUAAGCUGGUAAGUAUGACUUUGGGCUUCUGAUUUUCUUGCCUCCACCUCUCUCUCACAUACUAAGAUGGCAGACAUGUACCGUCAUGCAGGAGUUUGAACCCAAGGCGAGCAUUCUACCAACUGGGCUGUAUCCACAUCCCAAGGAGAAUGCAAGUGUUCUGUGUUCAAAGACAUCCUGCUUCCUUCUGUUAUUUGAUAUUUUUAAACUUUCAUGCUUUGGAGAGUUUGUGCCAUGUGGCCCUAGAUGUUCUGCAACUCACUUUGUAGACCAUCCUAGCUAGGAACUCAGAGACCUGCCUGCCUCUGUCUCCUAAGGACCUGAAUUUCAGGAAUGUUCCCCCAUCCUCCCUAUACUGUCUGUUUUUUAAAAGCCCCUCGUGUUUUCUCUAAUGCCCUGGAGAAUGUCCCUCAGCCAAACAGUUCUGUUGUAAUUUUGGGCACAGCUUGAGUGACAGACCAGACCUGGAGGCUUGCCCUACUUUGACCUUGGACAGUUCCUAGGUCUCAGUUUUCUUUGUCAUGGACCAAGCUCCCCUUCCAGCCCUUAAGGCAACAAACAAACAAACAGACAGACAGACAGACAAACAGACUUGUCAGUUUCUUUUUCUUCAGUUCAAGAAGUCUGUCUUUUUCAGCAGCAGAUCUGCAAGUUGCCUGCGUGCUUUUCUAUUCCAGAUGUCUCGCCUCUGCAAGCUUGCCUUUUCUCCUGCCGUUAUCUUCUGCAAAUGCGCCUCUCACUUUAAAGUUAGGGUACCCCAAUACCUUAACCCUUCCUUUUGGACAGGCUCCUCAGCUCACACUGCACGGUCACUGUUUCUCUGUCACAUACAAGCACUGCUGGGAAACAGAGAGGAGCUGCAAAGUUGUGACAACCAUAACAAUGACAUUGUGGCUUCUUGUUACUCCUACUCACUCUUUCUUUCUUUAAGAUGUAUUUGUUUUGAGACAGCUGCCUUAGUUAUAAAUGGCUGCUGUGAUACAACACCCUACGGAAGCAACCCAGAGAGGGAUGGCCGCAGGAGCAAGGAACGGCUGGUCAGCUGACUUCCACAGUCUCGGAGGAAGGGAGCAUCCUGGAUAACCUGCUGUCUACUCCCUGCUCUCCGCCUACUAAGUUAAGUCCCCACCCCACUGAGGGAGCCAUGCCACCCAUGGUGGCAUCCGGUCUUCCUAAUCAAGAUAACCUCCAUGUCCCAAGGCCUCUCUUCCAGGAGAUUCCAGAUUUUGCCAACUUGACAAUAUGUAUCCCAGGCUGGUCUUGAACUUGAGGUCUCUCUGCCCCAGCCUCCCGAUCGAUCAUUAAGAUUGCUGGUAUGGGCUACUACAGCCAGUUUUACAGAGCGCCAGGGGUUGGGUCUAGAGUCUUUUACGUGUUAGGCACACACUACCAAUUCUUUUCAUUUUUAAACAGUUGAUGAGUGGGUUACAGUAUGGCUCAGGGGCAGAAGCUUGGCUAGCAUGCUGUAGGCCCCAGGUUUGGCUUUUAGCAGGGUGUGUAUGUGUGUGUGUGUGUGUGUGUGUGUGUGUUUGUGUAGGUCAGUAGAAAUAGGUGGUCAAUUUUAAGGUGGCAGGCACUUGCCAUUUAUGCUAAAGGUUGCUUUCCUUGUGGCUAGGACAUGCAGGUGCCCUCAGCAAGUUUCUGUUUCAGGUCUACUGUGCUUAGAGCCCAUGUGCUCUUGGGAGCACUGAGAGACGCUGGGUUUGACAGCAGGACACACUUGUACAUAAGACAAAUAUACAGCUCAGGGUGUUUAAGGUUGCCUUAAUAGAGACCCAU
rnacentral:lncRNA from 1 species